AAAGUGCGACAAGUGUCACGACUUGCAGAUUCCCGGGAGCUGACAACUCUCUGAAUGCAAAUUGCGGCUCGCCAAUCUCACGGCGGCCAUGUGCUGCAGAGUGUUUUUGCUUUAUGCAUUCCAUCUUCUGGCUCGCUCAGAAGAAUUCGGAGUUGAGUGAAGUUGACCCUCGCUCAGCUCUGAGAUCUGCGCAAGCUCGCUAUUGCGGCGCGCCUGCCUUGAAAUACAGGCACGAAGCGUCACACAGCAUGUCUAGCGCCUAAACCUUUCUUGCUGACCUCUGCAGCAUAAGAAAACCCGCUGAACUUAA
rnacentral:misc_RNA from 1 species